rnacentral:lncRNA from 1 species
ACAAUUAAAUAUAUGCGAAAAAUCAAAAGCAACAAUUAUAAAAUCACCAAACCAUAAGAUCAAGUUCGGCAACAUCAAACCCUAGAUAAAUUAUUUAGUUCAUGAUAUGGAACAUGAAAUUCAUAUAAUUCAUAAUAGACAACAUAAGGAAAAGGAUAGAAAAACAAAUCUUUUUGUGUAGAUUUUUAAUCUUCUUCCUUGAUGUUGUUCUUGCAUUCUUUUGGUGUCUUCAAUUUUUGCCU